rnacentral:misc_RNA from 1 species
GAUGAAGAACGCAGCGAAAUGCGAUAAGUAGUGUGAAUUGCAGAAUUCAGUGAAUCAUCGAAUCUUUGAACGCACAUUGCGCCCCUAGGUAUUCCUUGGGGCAUGCCUGUUCGAGCGUCAUUGCUGCCCUCAAGCACGGCUUGUGUGUUGGGCCCCCGCCCCCCGGUUCCCGGGGGGCGGGCCCGAAAGGCAGCGGCGGCACCGCGUCCGGUCCUCGAGCGUAUGGGGCUUCGUCACCCGCUCCGUAGGCCCGGCCGGCGCCCGCCGGCGACCCCCCCUCAAUCUUUCCAGGUUGACCUCGGAUCAGGUAGGGAUACCCGCUGAACUUAAGCAUAUCAAUAAGCGGAGGA